AUGACUCAUCACGAAAAUUGUUUUAGCAUGGUGCAGAUGGCGACUUGGAGUAAGAUUCAUCAAGCAUUUUUGGUACUUAUUUGGCAUGAUUUUAACAAUUGUAUGCAGAGCUGUUUUGGUCUAACUGUCAGCUUGGUUUGGAGACUUGAAAGAAAACAUGGAAUUUGGUUGAGGCAUGAAGACGGGGAGCAUGGCAAGCUGGGUUUUAUAUUCUCACAUAUGGUCUUUUGCCAAUUCUAG